rfam:Bombyx mori DNA, contig: Bm_scaf75_contig31911, strain: p50T/Dazao, build 2, whole genome shotgun sequence.
CCAUGUCAAAUUUGUAUGGAGUUGGAAUAUUUGCUGCUAGAGGCGCUGUUCCAACUCCAUACAAAGUUGACUUA